AGGGCGCAUGGCGGAUGCCUUGGCUCUCGGAGGCGAUGAAGGACGUGAUAAGCUGCGAUAAGCUUCGGGUAGGUGCAAAUAACCUUUGAUCCGAAGAUUUCCGAAUGGGACAACCCGGCAUUCUGAAGGAAUGUCAUCCAUCCUAGAUGGAAGCUAACGCAGGGAACUGAAACAUCUUAGUACCUGCAGGAAAAGAAAAUAAUAAUGAUUCCCCAAGUAGUGGCGAGCGAACGGGGAUUAGCCCAAACCAAUGUUGUUACGGCAAUAUUGGGGUUGUAGGACCACGAUGUCGCAAGAAAUUUAGUGAGAAGAAUUCUUUGGAAAAUGAAACCAUAGACGGUGAUAGUCCGGUAUUCGAAGCUAAACGAAGCGUAGUGGUAUCCUGAGUAGCGCGGGACACGAGGAAUCUUGCGUGAAUCUGCCGGGACCAUCCGGUAAGGCUAAAUACUCCCGAGAGACCGAUAGCGAACCAGUACUGUGAAGGAAAGGUGAAAAGCACUUCGAAUAGAAGAGUGAAAUAGUCCCUGAAACCGUGCGCCUACAAGCGGUCGGAGCUGCUUCAGCAGUGACGGCGUGCCUUUUGCAUAAUGAACCUACGAGUUACUUUUUCCGGCAAGGUUAAGCAUUUCAAAAUGUGUAGCCGAAGCGAAAGCGAGUCUGAACAGGGCGAUUAGUCGGAAGGAGUAGACGCGAAACCAAGUGAUCUACCCUUGGUCAGGUUGAAGGUUAGGUAACACUAACUGGAGGACCGAACCGAUAAGCGUUGAAAAGCUUCCGGAUGAACUGAGGGUGGGGGUGAAAGGCUAAUCAAACUUGGAGAUAGCUCGUACUCCCCGAAAUGCAUUUAGGUGCAGCCUUGUGGGUUACUGAUGUGAGGUAGAGCGACUGAUAAGAUGCGAGGGCUUCACCGCCUAUCAAGUCUUGAUAAACUCCGAAUGCGCAGUAGUUCGAUCCCAGGAGUGAGGGCAUGGGUGCUAAGGUCCAUGUCCUAAAGGAGAAGAAUCCGGACCAUCAGCUAAGGUCCCGAAAUAAUUGCUAAGUUGAACUAACGAAGUCAGAUUGCUAAGACAGCUAGGAUGUUGGCUUGGAAGCAGCCAUUCAUUUAAAGAGUGCGUAACAGCUCACUAGUCGAGGAGUUUGGCGUGGAUAAUAAUCGGGCAUUAAGCAAUUUACCGAAGCUAUGGGAUCCGUAAGGAUCGGUAGGGGAGCAUUCCACUCUGCGUCGAAGGUGAAGCGUGAGCUUUGCUGGAGCGUGUGGAAAAGCAAAUGUAGGUAUAAGUAACGAUAAAGGGGGUGAGAAACCCCCUCGCCGAAAGACUAAGGUUUCCUGAUCAACGCUAAUCGGAUCAGGGUUAGUCGGGUCCUAAGGCUCAGCCGAACGGUGAGGCCGAUGGCAGAACAGGUUAAUAUUCCUGUACUACCUUAAGGAGUGACGUGGAGACGGAGGAGUGACAGCGCCGCGGACUGACGGAAUAGUCCGUUGAAGGGUGUAGAUGUUGAUUAUCCCAGGCAAAUCCGGGAUAAGAGUCGAACCUGAUAGUAUACCAAAUUCUUCGGAAUAAGGUAAUAGUGCGUGUAAGCAUACUCCCAAGAAAAUCCGCUAAACUUAAUCUUUAAGGUACCCGUACCGCAAACGGACACACGUAGUCGGGUUGAAUAUACUAAGGCGCUUGAGUGAUUCACGGUUAAGGAACUAGGCAAAUUGACCCUGUAACUUCGGGAUAAAGGGUCCCUACCCGGUGACGGGAGGGCGCAGAGAAUAGGUCCAGGCAACUGUUUAACAAAAACACAGGGCUGUGCUAAAUUGAAAGAUUACGUAUACAGCCUGACACCUGCCCGGUGCUGGAAGGUUAAGAGGAGAUGUCAUCGCAAGAGAAGCAUUGAAUUGAAGCCCCAGUAAACGGCGGCCGUAACUAUAACGGUCCUAAGGUAGCGAAAUUCCUUGUCGGGUAAGUUCCGACCUGCACGAAUGGUGUAAUGAUCUGGACACUGUCUCAACCGUGAGCUCAGUGAAAUUGUAGUAUCGGUGAAGAUGCCGAUUACCCGCGAUGGGACGAAAAGACCCCGUGAACCUUUACUAUAGCUUAACAUUGAAUUUGGGUAAUUGAUGUGUAGGAUAGGCCGGAGACUUCGAAGCAGGUACGCCAGUAUUUGUGGAGUCGCUGUUGAAAUACGGCCCUUUGAUUAUUUGAGUUCUAACUCGUAGAUGCGAGGACACUGUUUGGUGGGUAGUUUGACUGGGGUGGUCGCCUCCAAAAGUGUAACGGAGGCUUCUAAAGGUGCCCUCAGGACGAUUGGUAACCGUCCGUAGAGUGUAAUGGCAUAAGGGCGCUUGACUGGGAGACAGACAAGUCGAUCAGGUAGGAAACUAGAGCAUAGU
rnacentral:rRNA from 1 species